CCGACUUUGGCUCAGCCUGGCUCCGCCCUCUUCCGCUAAGUAGCUAAGAUGGCUGCCGUUGAGUACAAAAAGUGUACAUCGCCACACCCUUCGCGAUUUUACCGUUUUCAGUACACUUAUUUUCAGCCGAUCUGAAUUGGAACGCCCUACGUACUCAAAGGCUAGUCUUUUAUUUGUGUUUUUGUGUAUGCAUGAUGUAUCUGUGUGUGAGUUUAUGUGCUACUGAGCCACAAGGAGGUGGAGGAGGACAUCUGAUGAGGAGGUGCAGGAGGAAAGGAGCCAGUGAUGAGGAGGUGCAGGAGGAGGAGGUGAACCUGUGAUGAGGAGGUGCAGGAGGAGGAGGAGGUGAACCUGUGAUGAGGAGGAGGAGGAGGAGGAGGUGAACCUGUGAUGAGGAGGUGCAUGAGGAGGAGGAGGAGGUGAACCUGUGAUGAGGAGGAGGAGGAGGAGGAGGAGGAGGUGAACCUGUGAUGAGGAGGUGUCGGAGGAGGAGGUGAACCUGUGAUGACGAGGAGGAGGAGGUGAACCUGUGAUGAGGAGGUGCAGGAGGAGGUGAACAGGAGCUCCAGGAGCACAACAAGCCGUAAAAAGCGUUCCAGGAUCGGAGCCAAGGCGCACGUCCUAAAGUGGUUAUGAAUCAGGGAGCUUUUAGGAGGCGCCCACUUUCCCCAUCUGAGAGUCUGCAGCGAGACAACAGUAACUCGACCGACCUGAAACAACGCCAGGCAACCCACCCAACACAGAGCGGGGGGGGGUGCACAUGCUUUGUUCUGGCACUUUGCAGUUUCUUUCCCAUGAUGCACUGCUUUACCACAGAUCACACCAUACUGUUACUGACCUGUCAGUUUAACUAAAGCUUUAAAUGUUUAAGUGAACGCCCAGCAAGUGCUUCAAGGGGAGAUAAGACUUUGGUUUUAACAAAAUAUGAUCACAUAUUCAUUCAGUGGGUUCACAUGUGUAAUUGUUUGAAUGUUUUGGAAUAUCAAAUCAAAUAACUGGUUUGGUCCGUUUCAUAUAAAUAUUUAUUGCAGUGGAGGUAUGUUUUAUGUACAUGCUAACACAAUAUAACACAAUAUAUAAAUCUAACAAAUAUUCAUAUAUGUUAGUUAGUUGCUCUGUUAUUAAGCAGUAGGUUUAACAAGCACGCAAUACAGUGGGUUAGGUACAGUAUCACACACUAUACAACUUGUAACAGUCCAUAAAAGAUUCGGUCUGUGUAUUUUUUUUUCGUAUUUCUUUUUUUCUCUUUUCAACUUUUUCUGUCUUGGUUCAGUCGAGGGCAGUGAAACAUCAGUCCUACUAAUUUCUUCAAAUCAUGCAGAAGCCACAAGAGCAACAACUUAACAGCAUUGAGUAGUAUUGUAGUAACGUUAGUGGUACCUGUUAGUAAUAGAAGUAGCAGUAAUAGUAGUACAAUUAGUGGUACUAGUUAUAUUGGUCGUAGUAUUUGAUGUAAUUUGACUCCAGA
ensembl:lncRNA